rnacentral:tRNA from 1 species
GCGAGAGUGGCGGAACUGGCAGACGCGCUAGACUUAGGAUCUAGUACCGCAAGGUGUGUGGGUUCGACUCCCUCCUCUCGCACCA